GCAAGAGCAACAACUACAACUCCCAGAGGACCAACUACAACUGCCAGAGCAACAACUACAACUACCAGAGGACCAACUACAACUGCCAGAGCAACAACUACAACUCCCAGAGGACCAACUACAACUGCCAGAGCAACAACUACAACUGCUAGAGCAACAACUACAACUGCCAGAGCAACAACUACAACUGCUAGAGCAACAACUACAACUGCUAGAGCAACAACUACAACUCCCAGAGGACCAACUACAACUGCCAGAGCAACAACUACAACUGCUAGAGCAACAACUACAACUGCAAGAGCAACAACUACAACUGCUAGAGCAACAACUACAACUGCAAGAGCAACAACUACAACUGCUAGAGCAACAACAACAACAACACCAAUGACUACUACUGUUGAGGCAGUCACAACAAGGCAACUGGUUUUCAGAUCGGCUGGAGAGACAUUUACAAUUGACCUGUUAAAUCCAUCAUCUGCAGCAUUUAGAACUCGAGCCUCACUAAUAAAGUCUACACUUGAACCUUUCUACCGGAGUGAAUUUUCAACAUUCCGCUUCCUGACAGUGACUUCAUUCAGUAAUGGAUCAAUCAUCAACAGUGCAAGCAUUGCAUUUGCAUCAACAUCUGUUCCCAAUAACACUGCCAUUGCAAGCACUUUGGUCAGUGCAUCUGCUAACAUCACAGCCUUCAACAUUGACACCACUUCCAUUACUGUGGAUGGCGCACAAGUUUCAAGUGGAGUAAGCCACAAUAUCAGUCUCUUCACUGCAUCCACCUUUGUGCUGUUGUCAUGGCUGCUGGCUAGCCUGCAGUAGUGUCAAUGCAGACCUCAGAGAAGAGUGACUACUUUCCCAAAUAUAAAAAGGGACUGUGUUUGCAAUAAAAUCAAAGAAGACAACUGGAUUUGCAACUGUAGCAUGGCUUUCAAAUAACUUCCAGAUAAAAUAUUCAUAGUUUGAAUGAUAACCCUUAAGGGAUAACGUUAAGUAAGCCAGGGGUUACAGGAAAUAGAAUCCCAAAAUAGACAAGGUGAGACUAGACCUAGACUCAAAGGGAUCUUGUCCAGCCUAUGUGGAUUCUAUUUUGCAUAACCACUGGCUAACUACAUCUUAUUCUGCAUAUUAACUGGUAAAGAUACAAACAAAUUGAUGCUUUGUUUUUACUUAAAGAUGAUUUUAUUGAUUUUAAAAUGGUUCAUUUACACAGCUAAAAUAUCCCUCAGAUUCCACUGCUGAUAGUGCUUCCAUGGUGAUGGUAUUUUAUUUGCCUAACUGCAGGUCAAAUCAACAUUACACUUAACAUUUAAUUCUUGGUAAAGUAAAAAAAAGAAGAAGCUGGUUUUAUGCUUUUAUUCUUAACAGAUGUAGAAAUAACAGCAACACCUGCAUAAAGUCCUCUUCCCCAUAACUCUUCUGUGGCAUUUUCACUCCACCAUUCUGGUAACAUUGCCAAAGUCCAUACCAUGUCGCAGUUUGUGGUUGCUUCAUGUCUGUUUUCUUCAAAUGGGAUGAUGUCUCUGUUGGUGACUGGGCUGAAAUGAACCAAAAAUCUAAGUUUUGUGUUCUCCAACAAAUUAUGUUAAAACUAAAAGUAGUAUCCAUGUCAUUAGCAUUUAGAAUGAUAACAACAUAAAUGCUUCUUAAAUUGUUAACUGAUAUAGAAUGCUAACAUACACCAACAUUGUUGCUUCAGUGCCAA